CUCUGGCGGCGGCCGCGGAGCGGCUCUGGCGGCGGCCGGAGGCCAAGUGUGGCUAAAGGUUACUGCCCCGCGGCUGGGCUGCCUCGGGGCCUGCUCCCGCGUGGCUGGCGGCUUGUACUCCGGUCCUAACACCUGGCCGCCUAAAGGCACCGGCCCAGCCCCUCCUCUCUUUCCCAACUGCACUGCACAAGUGCCGCCUCCUCUCUAGAUCCGAGCGCCUCCAGCCUCCCGGUGCAUCAGAGUCACCUGGGAACUCCUGCACCGGAGGAUUCGUGGGCUCCGAAAUCAGAAUCCUAGAGAUUCAAAAUCAGUGUGUCUGGGAGGAGCCAAGGAAUAUGCUUGCUUAAGAGGUGUUUGUGGCAAUCCUCUGGCAUGGGGACGCAUCUGACACAGCCUUUUGCUUGCUUGUGACAAACAGAGCAUUGCAGAAGUGAUGCUGCGUGACCUCCAGGAUAAAGCUAUAAAAGGCAAUGCAGCUUGCACAUUGUUUGCUAGAACCCUCACUCUUGAAGCUUUCAGCCACCACUUAAUAAGCAGUAAGCUCAGCUUCCCUGAGGAUGCCACACUGUGAGGAAGCCGAAAGUAGCCCACAUGAAGAGACCAUGUGGAGAGGCCCUGAGAGAGAGAGAGAGAGAGAGAGAGAGAGAGAGAGAGAGAGAGACUGAUCAGCCCUCAUGAACUCCAAUUCCUUGGGAUUCUACUUCCAGCCAUCAUUGGACUAAGACCACACGAGAGACCCUAAGCCUAACUCAUCCUGAAUUCCUGAUCCACUGAGACCCUGAGAGACGAAAUAUUGUGGUUUUAAGUCACUAAGUUUUGGGCUGAUUUGUUACCGAGCAAUAAAUAGCUGGCACAAGUAC